AUUGAACGCUGGCGGCAUGCCUUACACAUGCAAGUCGAACGGUAACAGGUCUUCGGAUGCUGACGAGUGGCGAACGGGUGAGUAAUACAUCGGAACGUGCCCGAGAGUGGGGGAUAACGAGGCGAAAGCUUUGCUAUUACCGCAUACGAUUGCAGGAUGAAAGCAGGGGACCGGAAGGCCUUGCGCUCACGGAGCGGCCGAUGGCAGAUUAGGUAGUUGGUGGGAUAAAAGCUUACCAAGCCGACGAUCUGUAGCUGGUCUGAGAGGACGACCAGCCACACUGGGACUGAGACACGGCCCAGACUCCUACGGGAGGCAGCAGUGGGGAAUUUUGGACAAUGGGCGCAAGCCUGAUCCAGCCAUGCCGCGUGCAGGAUGAAGGCCUUCGGGUUGUAAACUGCUUUUGUACGGAACGAAAAGACUCUGGUUAAUACCUGGGGUCCAUGACGGUACCGUAAGAAUAAGCACCGGCUAACUACGUGCCAGCCGCCGCCGUAAGAC
rnacentral:rRNA from 1 species